rnacentral:rRNA from 1 species
GACGAACGCUGGCGGCGUGCUUAACACAUGCAAGUCGAACGGAAAGGCCCUGCUUUUGUGGGGUGCUCGAGUGGCGAACGGGUGAGUAACACGUGAGUAACCUGCCCUUGACUUUGGGAUAACUUCAGGAAACUGGGGCUAAUACCGGAUAGGAGCUCCUGCUGCAUGGUGGGGGUUGGAAAGUUUCGGCGGUUGGGGAUGGACUCGCGGCUUAUCAGGUUGUUGGUGGGGUAGUGGCUUACCAAGGCUUUGACGGGUAGCCGGCCUGAGAGGGUGACCGGCCACAUUGGGACUGAGAUACGGCCCAGACUCCUACGGGAGGCAGCAGUGGGGAAUAUUGCACAAUGGGCGGAAGCCUGAUGCAGCAGCGCCGCGUGCGGGAUGACGGCCUUCGGGUUGUAAACCGCUUUCGCCUGUGACGAAGCGUGAGUGACGGUAAUGGGUAAAGAAGCACCGGCUAACUACGUG